UACGGAGGGUGCGAGCGUUGUCCGGAAUCACUGGGCGUAAAGGGCGCGUAGGCGGCAUGCCAAGCGUGUGGUGAAAGCCCGGGGCUCAACCCCGGGUCGGCCGUGCGGACUGGCGUGCUCGAGCACUGUAGGGGCGGGUGGAAUUCCGGGUGUAGCGGGUGGAAUGCGUAGAGGAUCCGGAAGAACACCGGUGGCGAAGGCGGCCCGCUGGGC
rnacentral:rRNA from 1 species